CUCAUGGUUCAGUUGUAGCGCAUGAGACUCUUGAUCUCAGGGUCAUGGGUUUGAGCCUCACAUUGGGCAAGA